UACGGAGGGUGCGAGCGUUGUCCGGAAUCACUGGGCGUAAAGGGCGCGUAGGCGGCCCGGCAAGUCGAUGGUGAAAGCUCGCGGCUCAACUGCGAGUCGGCCACUGAUACUGCUGGGCUAGAGCACUGUAGAGGCAGAUGGAAUUCCGGGUGUAGCGGUGAAAUGCGUAGAUAUCUGGAGGAACACCGGUGGCGAAGGCGGCAUCCUGGACCGGCAUUGACGCUGAGGCGCGAAAGCUAGGGGAGCAAACGGG
rnacentral:rRNA from 1 species